rnacentral:rRNA from 1 species
AUGAACGCUGGCGGCGUGCCUAAUACCUGCAAGCCGAGCGAACAGACGAGGAGCUUGCUCCUUUGACGUUAGCGGCGGACGGGUGAGUAACACGUGGAUAACCUACCUAUAAGACUGGGAUAACUUCGGGAAACCGGAGCUAAUACCGGAUAACAUGUUGAACCGCAUGGUUCAACAGUGAAAGACGGUCUUGCUGUCACUUAUAGAUGGAUCCGCGCCGCAUUAGCUAGUUGGUAAGGUAACGGCUUACCAAGGCAACGAUGCGUAGCCGACCUGAGAGGGUGAUCGGCCACACUGGAACUGAGACACGGUCCAGACUCCUACGGGAGGCAGCAGUAGGGAAUCUUCCGCAAUGGGCGAAAGCCUGACGGAGCAACGCCGCGUGAGUGAAGAAGGUCUUCGGAUCGUAAAACUCUGUUAUUAGGGAAGAACAAAUGUGUAAGUAACUAUGCACGUCUUGACGGUACCUAAUCAGAAAGCCACGGCUAACUACGUG